rnacentral:rRNA from 1 species
GACGAACGCUGGCGGCGUGCUUAACACAUGCAAGUCGAACGGAAAGGCCCUGCUUUUGUGGGGUGCUCGAGUGGCGAACGGGUGAGUAACACGUGAGUAACCUGCCCUUGACUUUGGGAUAACUUCAGGAAACUGGGGCUAAUACCGGAUAGGAGCUCCUGCUGCAUGGUGGGGGUUGGAAAGUUUCGGCGGUUGGGGAUGGACUCGCGGCUUAUCAGCUUGUUGGUGGGGUAGUGGCUUACCAAGGCUUUGACGGGUAGCCGGCCUGAGAGGGUGACCAGCCACAUUGGGACUGAGGUACGGCCCAGACUCGUACGGGAGGCAGCAGUGGGGAGUAUUGCACAGUGGGCGGACGCCUGAUGCAGCAACGCCGCGUGCGGGAUGACGGCCUUCGGGUUGUAAACCGCUUUCGCCUGUGACGAAGCGUGAGUGACGGUAAUGGGUAAAGAAGCACCGGCUAACUACGUG